UACGGAGGGUGCAAGCGUUAUCCGGAUUCACUGGGUUUAAAGGGUGCGUAGGAGGGCAGGUAAGUCAGUGGUGAAAUCCCCGAGCUUAACUUGGGAACUGCCGUUGAUACUAUCUGUCUUGAAUACCGUGGAGGUGAGCGGAAUAUGUCAUGUAGCGGUGAAAUGCUUAGAUAUGACAUAGAACACCAAUUGCGAGGGCAGCUCGCUACACGAAUAUUGACUCUGAGGCACGAAAGCGUGGGGAUCAAACAGG
rnacentral:rRNA from 1 species